rnacentral:rRNA from 1 species
GCUCGAGUGGCGAACGGGUGAGUAGCACGUGAGUAACCUGCCCUUGACUUUGGGAUAACUUCAGGAAACUGGGGCUAAUACCGGAUAGGAGCUCCUGCUGCAUGGUGGGGGUUGGAAAGUUUCGGCGGUUGGGGAUGGACUCGCGGCUUAUCAGCUUGUUGGUGGGGUAGUGGCUUACCAAGGCUUUGACGGGUAGCCGGCCUGAGAGGGUGACCGGCCACAUUGGGACUGAGAUACGGCCCAG